rnacentral:rRNA from 1 species
AUUGAACGCUGGCGGAAUGCUUUACACAUGCAAGUCGAACGGCAGCACGGGGCAACCUGGUGGCGAGUGGCGAACGGGUGAGUAAUACAUCGGAACGUGCCCAAUCGCGGGGGGAUAACGUAGCGAAAGUUACGCUAAUACCGCAUACGAUCUACGGAUGAAAGCGGGGGAUCGCAAGACCUCGCGCGAAUGGAGCGGCCGAUGUCAGAUUAGGUAGUUGGUGGGGUAAAGGCUCACCAAGCCAACGAUCUGUAGCUGGUCUGAGAGGACGACCAGCCACACUGGAACUGAGACACGGUCCAGACUCCUACGGGAGGCAGCAGUGGGGAAUUUUGGACAAUGGGCGCAAGCCUGAUCCAGCCAUUCCGCGUGCAGGAUGAAGGCCUUCGGGUUGUAAACUGCUUUUGUACGGAACGAAAAGGUCCUGGUUAAUACCUGGGGCUCAUGACGGUACCGUAAGAAUAAGCACCGGCUAACUACGUGCCAGCAGCCGCGGUAAUAGUAC